rnacentral:ncRNA from 1 species
GAAAUGCGCAGAUAUCAGGAGGAACACCGGUGGCGAAGGCGGAUCUCUGGGCCGAUACUGACGCUGAGGAGCGAAAGCGUGGGGAGCGAACAGGAUUAGAUACCCUGGUAGUCCACGCCGUAAACGGUGGGCACUAGGUGUGGGCAACAUUCCACGUUGUCCGUGCCGCAGCUAACGCAUUAAGUGCCCCGCCUGGGGAGUACGGCCGCAAGGCUAAAACUCAAAGGAAUUGACGGGGGCCCGCACAAGCGGCGGAGCAGUGUGGCUUAAGUUCGACGCAACGCGAAGAACCUUACCAAGGCUUGACAUACACCGGAAAACCCUGGAGACAGGGUCCCCCUUGUGGUCGGUGUACAGGUGGUGCAUGGCUGUCGUCAGCUCGUGUCGUGAGAU